rnacentral:misc_RNA from 1 species
AACGCACAUUGCGCCCUCUGGUAUUCCGGGGGGCAUGCCUGUUCGAGCGUCAUUGUCAACAAUCCAGCCCGGCUGGGUGUUGGGCAGCGCGGCCUCACCGCCGCGGGCCCCAAUGUCGCCGGCCACGCCGUCCGUCCCCUCGCGUUGUGGCAUCUCGUCUCGCGUCGGUGGCCGGCCGGAGUGCGCCGUCCAACCUCCAUAUCACAGGUUGACCUCGGAUCAGGUAGGGAUACCCGCUGAACUUAA